UUUAAACAGCUAAUGGCAGAUCUACUUUUUCUCUUUGAACUGGUAUAAUGGUUUAACUGUCAAGCACACGGAACUCCUCCAUGUGGAAUGGCAACCUACAAUGAUACACCAAGCAAUAAGUCUUUGAUGUGAGCUUACAAUGGUACUCACUAAUUGUACUGAUGAUUUGGAGAAAGACCUGUAUACAAACUGUAUAUCGAAAGAUGGAGAAUUCUACUGUAACACACUAUUCCUCUUCUUGCUCAUCGUGGUUGACCUAUCAUCUCUUCAGAAAAUGUAGUGGAAAUAAUCAUCGACAUAUUGAUAACAAUAUUACUUGAUGAAAACAGGAUAAGGUCUUGACAAACUGGAGGGGAAAA